GUAAAAAGACCUACAAAAUAGGUUCUUUACUAUCCUUUCUGAUCCCAUGCUCAGAGUCGCCAAACUUUGAGAGCGUGGGAUUUUUU
rnacentral:ncRNA from 1 species